rnacentral:rRNA from 1 species
AUGGAGCGGCGGAAGAUGCUCGCGGACCUCCUCCGGGCGAGCGCGAGGGGCCCGGACCUCCGCGGCGGCGCGCAGCUCCACGGCUCGCUCACCAAGCUCGGCUUCGGGACGGACACCAUGCUGGGCAACAACCUCAUCGACAUGUACGCCAAGUGCGGGAAACUCGACAUGUCCCGCCAGGUGUUCGACGGAAUGCCCGAGAGGAACGUGGUCUCGUGGACGGCCCUCAUGGUGGGCUUCCUGCAGCAGGGGCGCGCCGGGGAGUGCCUCAGGCUGUUCGGGGAGAUGCGGAGGGUCUCGGAGGUCCCGCCGAACGAGUUCACGCUCUCGGCGACCCUCAAGGCGUGCGGCGUCGCCGGCGACACGGGCGCCGGUGUUCGUGUCCACGGGGCCUGCGUCAGGAUGGGGUUCGAGGGGCACGGCGUCGUCGCCAACUCGCUGGUGCUCGUGUACUCCAAGGGCGGGAGGAUCGGCGACGCGCGGCGUGUGUUUGAUGGCGCUGCUGCGUUCAGGGACCUCGUCACCUGGAACGCCAUGAUCUCUGGCUACGCGCACGCAGGGCAAGGCAGGGACUCGCUGCUCGUCUUCCGGGAGAUGCAGCGGCGAGGAGACGAGGAUUGUCAGCCCGACGAGUUCACCUUCGCCAGCUUGUUGAAAGCUUGCAGCGGCCUAGGCGCGGCUCGAGAGGGCACGCAGGUUCACGCGGCCAUGGUGACCAGGGGGGUCUCCACGGCAUGCAGUGCCAUCCUCGCUGGCGCGAUGCUCGAUGUGUACGUCAAAUGCCGGUGCCUGCCGGUGGCGAUGCAGGUGUUCGAUCGGUUGAAAAGGAAGAAUGCCAUCCAGUGGACUACGGUGAUCGUCGGUCAUGCGCAGGAGGGGCAGGUGAAGGAAGCAUUGGAGCUGUUCCGGCGGUUCUGGAGCUCUGGCAUCCGUGCUGAUGGACAUGUCCUCUCCAGCAUCGUAGGCGUGUUUGCAGACUUUGCUCUCAUCGAGCAGGGGAGACAAGUGCACUGCUACACGGUCAAGAACCCGGCCGGGCUGGACGUGUCAGUGUCCAACUCCCUGGUCGACAUGUACCACAAGUGUGGGCUGACCGACGAGGCGGAGCAGCGGUUCUGGGAGACGCCGAGGAGGAACGUCGUGUCAUGGACAGCGAUGAUCAACGGCCUCGGGAAGCACGGCCAUGGCCGAGAGGCCAUUGACAUGUUCGAGAAAAUGCGAACGGAAGGCGUCGAGCCUGACGAGGUGAGCUACCUGGCCCUCCUGUCGGCGUGCAGCCACUCUGGCCUUGUUGAGGAGUGUCGCCGGUAUUUCUCGAUGAUCCGCCAGGACAAAUGGCUGAGGCCGAGGGCAGAGCACUACGCGUGCAUGGUCGACCUCCUUGGCCGCGCCGGGGAGCUCACGGAGGCCAGGGACCUUGUCGCGACGAUGCCGAUGGAGCCCACCGUCGGCGUGUGGCAGACUCUGCUGAGCGCCUGCAGGGUGCACAAGGACGUCACCACAGCCAAGGAGGCGGGCGAGGCCCUCCUGGCCAUGGACGGCGACAACCCGGCUAACUACGUGAUGCUGUCGAACAUCUUCGCCGAGGCUGGCGAGUGGCGGAGCACCAGCAGCUGGGUGGAGGUCGGCAAGGAGGCACACUUCUUCUACGGUGGUGGCGACACCACCCACCCACGCGCCACCGACAUCCGCCGCGGAGCAGCUUGGGUACAUGCUGGGUCGUCGGCGCACGCGGUGGCGCUGCACGACGUGGACGAGGAGUCGCGCGCCGAGGGCCUGCGGGCGCACAGCGAGCGGCUGGCUGUGGGGCUGUGGCUGCUGCACCAUGGUGAGCACCACCAUGGCGAUGGGGAGGAAGAGGAGGGAAGGAGGGAGGUGAUCAGGGUGUACAAGAACCUGCGGGUGUGUGGCGACUGCCACGAGUUCUUCAAGGGGUUGUCGCGGGUGGUGGGGAGGGCGAUGGUUGUAAGAGACGCCAACCGGUUCCACAGGUUCCAGGACGGCGCCUGCUCCUGCAAAGACUACUGGUGA